GGGAGUGGUCGUUUGGAGGAGCUCGGUGUUGAUCGUCUGUGCCUGUGGAGAGUGCGCACUGCAGCAGAGGGUAAGGGGCUGUGCAACGGCGAAGAGGAGAGAUGGCCAGCGAAGAGCCAAAGCCUCCGCAGCUGCCGUCUCUGGACCUCACG
rnacentral:SRP_RNA from 1 species